AUAAUCUGAUUUACUGACAAGACCACAAUCUGACUGAGAAGAUGUGCUCCACAAACUCAGGCAACUGGGUCACAUUUGAUGAUGACCCCACUUUUCAGCCUUCUCAAAAGCCAACAAAUUUCCCUCUGGAGAAUCAAGGCAUCUGUCGGCCAAAUGGACUUAAGCUGAAUCUUUCUGGCCCUAAGGAAUUUCCCAGUGGAUCUUCCUCCACCAGCAGCACCCCGCUGUCCUCACCCAUUGUAGACUUUUACUUCAGUCCUGGACCACCUAGUAACUCUCCUCUUUCUACACCUACCAAAGACUUCCCAGGCUUUCCUGGCAUCCCCAAAGCAGGGACUCAUGUGCUUUAUCCUAUUCCUGAAGCAUCUGCAAAUAGCCCACUCACACCAGGAGCUGGUUCCCCAUUACUGCCCACCAAACCAUCUUGUUUCUCCCAGGCUUCCUUACCCAGCGGCAACUCAUACACACAUCCAGCUCCCAAAGUGGGCCUUCCAGAUGAAAUUAACCCUCCCCAAGCUGCAAACCAAGGAUUCCCAAGUGAAACCUCCCAGUUUCAGUAUUUUCAGGAGGACUGUGCUUUUUCAAGUCCGUUUUGGAAAGAUGAAGGCAGUAGUGCUUCCCAGCUCACCUUUGACCAUUCUGUAAGCAGAAAGACAUUCCUACCAAGAGAAAAAGACAUGCCUAUCGAUCAGAAAAGCCUAAACCAGUGUUCACUCAGCUAUAUCUGUGAGAAGCUUGAACAUCUUCAAUCAGCUGAGAACCAAGACUCACUGGAAAAUUUACCUAUGCAAUGUCUCUAUGCUAAAAACACUCCUUCGUCCUUUGUCCCUCAGAAGCUUUUCAGGAGCCCGACCCAAACGGGAUGGUCUUUCAUGCUGAGAAUUCCUGAGAAGAAGAAUAUGAUGUCUUCUCGCCAGUGGGGACCAAUUUUUCUAAAAGUUUUGCCUGGAGGAAUUUUGCAAAUGUAUUAUGAGAAGGGGUUAGAAAAACCAUUCAAGGAAUUACAGCUGGAUCCAUACUGUAGGCUUUCUGAACCCAAAAUUGAGAACUUCAGUGUGGCAGCAAAAAUCCAUACUGUGAAGAUUGAACAUGUGUCUUACUCAGAAAAAAGGAAAUACCAUUCUAAGACAGAAGUAGUUCAUGAACCGGAUGUAGAACAGAUGCUGAAGCUUGGGUCCACAGAGUAUCAGGACUUUUUGGACUUUCUGACCACUGUGGAGGAGGAGCUGAUGAAGUUACCAGCUGUUUCAAAACCAAAAAAGAUUUAUGAGGAACAAGAAAUUUCCCUGGAAAUUGUGGACAACUUUUGGGGUAAAAUCACUAAAGAAGGAAAACUGGUUGAAAGCACCGUAAUAACUCAAAUUUAUUGCCUCUGCUUUGUGAAUGGGAUGGCAGAGUGCUUCUUGACCUUGAAUGACCUUGAGCUGCAGAAGCGAGAUGAACGCUAUUUUGUGAAAGAUCCAGAAAAGAAGGGGAUUUAUAUCAUGGACUGUUAUUUUCAUAAGUGUGUAAAAGCACAUGAAUUUGAACAAUCAAGAGUCAUUAAGUUUGCGCCUCUAGAUGCCUGCCAUUUUGAGCUGAUGCGUUUCAUGACCUCCUACAGGGGGGAAGAUCUUCCUUUCUCCCUAAAAUCUGUCGUGGUUGUUCAGGGGGCUUAUGUGGAGCUUCAGGCUUUUGUCAACAUGAACCCAGUGGCUCAGAGACCAGGGCAUGCCACUUCCUUGAGGUGCUGUGACAAUGUGAUGAUACACUUUCCUGUGCCAUCACAGUGGAUCAAAGCCCUCUGGACCAUGAACCUCCAGCGGCAGAAGUCCUUGAAAGCCAAAAUGAACCGCAGAGCAUGUCUGGGAAGCCUCCAGGAACCUGGGUCUGAGCCUGUCAUCCAGGUCACUGUGGGGUCAGCGAAAUAUGAGAGUGCCUACCGGGCUGUAGUAUGGAAGAUAGACCGGCUUCCUGAUAAAAACUCAAGUCCUGAUCACCCUCACUGUUUGUCAUACAAACUAGAACUUGGAUCAGACCAAGAAAUUCCCUCUGAUUGGUAUCCAUUUGCCACUGUUCAGUUUGGGAUGCUUGACACCUGUGCCUCAGGGACAGAGGUCAGGUCUCUUGGGGUGGAGAGUGACAUUCAGCCCCAGAAACAUGUUCAUCAGCGAACGUGCUACAACAUCCAGGAUCUUGACUGUGUGGAUAUGUGAAGCAUUUGCCAGUGUCUUCCAGAGCAGUAUCUGUGGAGCACUCCUUUGGAAUUGCAGUGUCACUCUUAAAAUAGUUCACAACAUUCACCAUCCACUCUUCUGCAUUCUUGGGCCAGAUGAAUUGAAGAGUGACACAUGUUGAAAUAGAAAGAAAAUGGAUUAAGAUUGAUGGAGAAGACCCAGAGAAAGCUGGUGACUGCUUAACUCAGUAGGAGUCACAAGAAUAAAUUGAUGAAGAUUCACUUUUCAUUUGUGUGAUUCAUGGGAGCCACACACAGUUCUGCUACUGUACAGUAGAAAUGGUUUCUGAAUAAAAGGCCUCUGACAGGCUUCAGAGGCCAUUUUCGAGAACUUGGAAUCUAUAACCAAAUAACUAAAAUGAUCUCUAUUUUAUGCUCCAGAUGGUUGUGUCCCAGGGACUUUAUCUAAAAUAUGUUAAUAAUUUGCAUGAUGCUUUUGCUUUCUAUUGAGGCUUAAAGGUACUUUUUUUCAGUGAGUGACCUUUUAGCUGCUGGAGUACCUCAGUGCCACAGUGAUUACCCUCCGGUAGGUACCUUUUUCAUCUGUAUUAACGUCUAUACCGGAGGGUAAGUUAAUCAGAGGAAACAUAACCAACAUACUUACUUUUUUGUCUUCCUCAUCUUGGAAACAUGACUAGCUGAGGAUGAAAUGGAUGAUAUUGAAAUCACAAGCCACAAUGAAGAUGUGGAAAUAUUCAUCAUUUUGAAUUCUUUUUUAAAAAUAUUUUUAUUUAUUAUUGGGUAGAGGCAGAGAGAAACUGAGAGGGAAGGAAAAGGGAGAGAGACAGGGAGAUGCCUGCAGCCUUGCUUCACCCCUCAUGAAGCUUCCCCCGCUGCAGGUGGGGACCAGGGACUUGAACCUGGAUCUUUGUGCUUGGCCCAAUUUUGAAUUUUUUUUUUUAUCUUCCUGUCCUUUUAAUAGCCUUCUGGUUAUUAAUCAUUGACUAUAUUUGGUACCUGUUUCCCCCACUCUAUUACCAUUUCAGAAUGUAUUUGUGCUGUGCUAUGUGCUACAAAGAACCCCUUUGAUAGAUACACAUAUUUCAGUACAGGUCACUAGUCUUUAUUACUCUUUACUUAGAGAGAUUAUUUUCAAAAUGGAAUCCUUAUAUUGGGCACUUGUUAAAGUAUUUAUGUGCAUUAAAGAUGAAUUUCUAAAGCUUAUGAAUAUUAUUUCCCAGAACUCCAGACUCUAAAAUAUAUUUUGAUAAAGUAGUAUUUGCAUUUAACACAAAACUCUCUUGAGUAGAAGUAUGUAAAUCAUACUAUUAGUAUUUAUCCUGCUAGAAUUCUGUUUGUGCUAAUUCUGUUUCAUUUAGAGUAUUCUUCUUUAAAGGACCAGCAUAGUAAGAGUCACAAGGUUACUUUACCUAGAUUUCUAAGAGGUGAGUGGCAUUUCCCUUCUUCAUAGAUAAAAGUGUUUGGUUUCUAGUGAAAAGCCAAUGACAUUAGCACUUAGAACUCCUUUAGUAAUUUUCUCUCAGUAUUUACAGUGAAAGGCCAGACUUGAAAAAAAAAUUAAGAAAUCUAUAUAUAUAUAUAUUUUUUAAGUCUGAAAAAGAAAGCUUUCCAUGUGGUAUUAAUACACCUUGAAUUUGUGUUGGAUCUUAAAUUAAUGAGGAGACAUUUUUUCCCAUUUACUAGAUUUGUUUUGGGUCAAAAUUAAUAUAUAAUUGUUCUUCCCAACAAAAUUUACUUACUGGUCCACAGAGCUUUGCCACACGUUAUAUUUAAUGUUACACUAGACUACAUUUUAUCUGUUCAAAUCAGAUUAAAACACAUUUAUGAUGGUCUUUAUCAAGCCACAGAUUAUACUGCUUUUCAUCAUUUACAGUAAAGGCAAAGAAUGUAAAAGUCAACUGUUAAAAUGAAUUGGUAUUGCUUUAUUAUUAUUAUAACACUUGAUCAUGUGCUUGAAAGAUAUAGAAUUGUAAACCUGUAUGUAUGUCACUAAAAGACAAAUUCCACCAUCUUUCCUCAUCAUCUGGUAUAUGAUACAUUAGGGAGUGACUUCAGUCAGCUCAGAACCAGUAAUGGAGGCUGGCUGAACCUGAUGCUCCCUGUGAUCCCAGGGAAGUUAGUUGAGUUAAUUACUGCCCUUUCUUUCAAGUCUGUCUGAUGGCAGCCUUCCAAUAAAGAGCUCUGAGUCUGAUUCAGAUGAAUUUAAUGAAUAUUAACACCACAAAAUAAAUUCAACCAAGACUUUGACUAAUUGCCCCUUCUCUUUCGCAGGUUGCCCUGUAUCUGUGGGCAGUGUAAUUUACUCACCUGCCACCCAGCCUUCAGGAGCAUUUGAAGAUUCAGUGUUGUAAUAAAAGGCUGACUGAAGCCCAAAAUUGAGUUUCUAGGCAAUUCAAAGGUUGAUAGCACUAACAGUGGGGUGCUACAGCAUAAUUGUUAAUUUACACGUCUAUUAUAAUGCUUAAAUAUUCAUUACUUUGUGUUAAAUUAACAUUCUGUAUUGAGGAGAGAGGCUUUUUAAUACAAUUCUUCUGACCUGGAAAUGGCAGGAGGUCAGACGAAUGUGGAAAUGUGGAACUCCCGCAAAAUCUGGUAGACUCCUAGGUUUCAUUUAGAUUUACAAAUUAAGAAAUAGAAUGUCCUUUGUCUGAAAGUAAAUGAGAGCUUUGAAAACAACAAGGAAUUUUGCUUUUAUGACUGGCCUUAGAGAAACAAAGCUAGUGAAGGUGGAACUACUCCUCUUUUAGCAUUUUAUGCAGGUCAUUUAGAUCCUCCCCCUUUAUAAACUGAACAUCAGGGCAUUAGUGGAUUGAUUGACGCAAUAAUAGACUUGCAAAGAGCUGACCACUUGUGACUGGAUAUGUUGUUACUGUUCUCAGACUGUUGCUUUACUAAUCAAAAGCUUGUAUUGUGUAAAUGAAUCUAUUUAUUGUGCAGAUCUAAAUUCCAGGAUAUUUCUGUUUCUGUGGGAAUAGAAAGAGUUUAUGAAAAAUACAUGGGAAAAGAUCUUUUUCAGCACAUAAUGUCUGGAAUUUUUGGUUUAUGUAUUAAACAGUUUUAGUUCUCUUCAUUUAGGAUCUAUGCUUGGAUAUAACCUUUCUUUUUAAAAAAUUCAGCUAGACUUUCCUUAGUAAUGAUUAAGUAUUACCUUAUCUUACUUAAAUAUGAUUUUAUGACAUAUCAGUACAAAUAUAAAACAGACUAAACCUUAAUAAUACUGUAACAAAACUUUGUAGAUUGCAUGUUGGUUUUAUAAAAAAUAAAGGCGUUUUUUCAAAUGA